UUAGCUCAUAAGAAAAAACCCGAAUCAAUCCGGGUCCCGGGGGCGGGGGCCGUGCGGGCAGAGGUCCACUUCUGCGCCCGGGCCUCUGGGAGGCAGCUCCGCUGGCCAGUUGGCCCCAGACACCGAAGUGCCCCCCCCCCGGCCUUGGGGGGCUCGGGGCGUCCUCUUAGCUUUCCCGGUGAGGCCUCUCCCACCUGGGUCACCAAGCCGACCCCGACCCCUCCUCGGCUCGGCUCCCGGGGGGUCUCCUUGGGGUUCUCUGGCCCCACGACGGCAGAGUCCCGACCUGCCAUCCGUCCCCCGUCUCCGAGGAGGGGGCACCUCUCGGCCCCCAGGCCCCACGUCGCGGAGCCCUCGCCGCCUCCCAGCAGGCAGGUGUCCAGCAGCCAGGCCGCCUCCCCCCAGCCCCAGGAGGGCCGCCUCCUGCUAUUUUUAUCUCAGGAGCUUUCUCAAGGACAGAGCAGCAGCCCCUGGGCCAAAGGGGGGCUGUGUCCCUGCGGAAAACCUGCCUCAUGGGGAAGGAAUCCGGGGUUUUUUGUUUUUUGGGUUUUUUGGGUUUCUGGGUGGGGGGGUCCUGGCUCGAAGCCCUCAGCCUCUGCGGGCUCCCUCUGAGCCGACCAGAGUUCAGGGGCAGAUCCGUCGCGUUUUCAUAGGAAGGGAAGCAGCACCGGAUUAGGGCCAGCCUGGAUGGCCACGCGCCCCCCCCCCCACCCGUCAGCCUGGGUUCGCGGCUUAAAAAAAAAGAAAAACAACCCAAACCCAAACCUUCCUACCUUACUUGGGUCAACAGCAGAGGGAGGCCCAGCCGCAGCCGGACGUGGGGCUCGCGGGUGCCGCAGGGAGCUGGGGGGGAGGGGAGGGGGGAGGGGAGGGGGAGCGGGCGGCCCUCGGUGCGGCCCUCGGUGCUCCCCACGUCCGGAUUCUCCUGCCACUGACGCUGUGUGGUCGCGUGACAUUGGCCGCCCCGGGGUCCCGGGUGCGAGCGGCGGGCUCGGGAGAGCGGGCGCAGGGCCACGGCUGGAGUGGGCCGUGCUGCCCGCCCCGCCCCGCCCAGCCCCGCCCGCCCGCC
rnacentral:lncRNA from 1 species